CAGGAGGCUGCCAAAAGCCGACCACCCAUGUUCACGAGUACUUAUUGUUUCCUUGGUAGGUCCGCCUGCCAGAGGACAUAUCAACCAAACCUCUUGCAAUAUUGCCGUCCUGUCUGAUUUGUGAAGCAAGCAAUUUA
rnacentral:misc_RNA from 1 species